GCGUGCCUAACACAUGCAAGUUGAGCGGAGAUAUAUGGAGCUUGCUUUAUAUAGCUUAGCAGCGAACGGGUGAGUAACACGUAGAUAAUCUAUCCUAUACUGGGGGAUAGCCCGAUGAAAGUUGGAUUAAUACCGCAUAUAGCUAUAUAGUUGCAUGAUUAUGUAGUGAAAGAUUUAUUGGUAUAGGAGGAGUCUGCGGCACAUUAGCUAGUAGGUGAGGUAAAGGCUUACCUAGGCGACGAUGUGUAGCCGGUCUGAGAGGAUGAACGGCCACAAUGGAACUGAGACACGGUCCAUACUCCUACGGGAGGCAGCAGUGGGGAAUAUUGCACAAUGGGGGAAACCCUGAUGCAGCAACGCCGCGUGAGUGAAGAAGGUUUUCGGAUUGUAAAGCUCUGUUAGCAGGGAAGAGGAAGGACGGUACCUGCAGAGGAAGCCACGGCUAACUACGUGCCAGCAGCCGCGGUAAUACGUAGGUGGCAAGCGUUGUUCGGAAUAACUGGGCGUAAAGGAUGCGUAGGCGGUUAAACAAGUUAUAUGUUAAAUAUAUAGGCUUAACCUGUAGAAAGCAUAUAAAACUGUUUAACUAGAGUGCAGGAGAGGUAAGUGGAAUUCCUAGUGUAGCGGUGAAAUGCGUAGAGAUUAGGAAGAACACCAGUGGCGAAGGCGACUUACUGGACUGUAACUGACGCUGAGGCAUGAGAGCAUGGGGAGCAAACAGGAUUAGAUACCCUGGUAGUCCAUGCUGUAAACGAUGGGUACUAGGUGUGGGUUGUGAAUAACAAUUCGUGCCGUCGCAAACGCAAUAAGUACCCCGCCUGAGGAGUACGAUCGCAAGAUUAAAACUCAAAGGAAUUGACGGGGACCCGCACAAGCAGCGGAGCAUGUGGUUUAAUUCGAAGCAACGCGAAGAACCUUACCUAAACUUGACAUACCUUGAAUUACCUUGUAAUGAGGGAAGCUCGCAAGAGCAAGGAUACAGGUGGUGCAUGGUUGUCGUCAGCUCGUGUCGUGAGAUGUUGGGUUAAGUCCCGCAACGAGCGCAACCCUUGUUGUUAAUUGCUAACAGGUUAAGCUGAGCACCUUAGCGAGACAGCCUAGGUUAACUAGGAGGAAGGUGGGGAUGACGUCAAAUCAUCAUGCCCCUUACGUUUAGGGCUACACACGUGCUACAAUGGUGAGAACAGAGAGAAGCAAGCUAGUGAUAGUGAGCAAAACUUAUAAAACUCAUCUCAGUUCGGAUUGCAGGCUGAAACUCGCCUGUAUGAAGAUGGAGUUGCUAGUAAUCGCGAAUCAGAAUGUCGCGGUGAAUACGUUCCCGGGUCUUGUACACACCGCCCGUCACACCAUGAGAGUUGGCAACACCCGAAACCUGUGGGCUAACCAUAUAGGAGGCAGCAGUCUAAGGUGGGGUCAGUGAUUGGGGUG
rnacentral:rRNA from 1 species